UCAUGUUCUGAGGCCGACCCAUUACCUUAUCACCAAAAUCGUGUACCUACUUUCUCCGCUGCUUUCCCUCCUCAUCCUCCAAAACCCUAAUGGUGAUUUUAACAAAAACCUUCCUCCGUUUCUAUUUAUACCAGCAAAUAAAUCUUGUGGCAGAUUAAACAACAGCUUGAUUAGAACUAUUUAUCAGAUCUUGAUUAUGUGAAUAAGACAAAUAGGUGAGUAUCCCUGACUUUCAGAUUGAAUACCAUAUUUAUUUGUUUGCUAAUUUAUUUAUUGUGUAUGUAUAUGGUUGGGAUUUUGAAUUUUUAAUCUUUAUUGAUGUUCCCUAUAUGUAUUCUGCAUUUUUUUUUUGUUUUGUAUAGAUAUUAUUCACUUUUUUUAUCUUAAACAAGUUCUUAGUUUUGUCUGAAUAAGACUUAAUAGCCGCCCUAAAAAACCAUAGCUUGGAUCGACAUGCUUGCAGGUUAGUUGCUUUUUGGUAGCUUCGUUUUGAAAUCCUUUAUUGAAAGUUGCAGGUCAAACAGUCCUUAUUUAAUCAAUUUGAAUGAAAGUUUCAUUGAUAGAAGAUUCUAUCAAUGAUCACUAUAAUGGAUCACGCACCGCUAACUUAAAUGUCUAUUACGUUUUUCUCUCUUGGUUCAUAAAAAAGGUCGAUGUUGGAUUCUGGCAUCUGAUCAUCCCAAUUGUUGCCUCUAAAAUGCAUUUGCAAAUUUUAAAUAAGUUCAAUGAAAAUAAAUUAUUUUGACUUGUGACUAAUAAAGAUGUUAGAAGCAUCAAACUUUAGAUUGAGAUAAUGACAAAGUUAUCCGGGCAUCCGAAUGUUGUUGAUCUCAAAGCAGUUUAUGAAUUUGGUUAUGGAGUUGUGUAUAGGCGGAGAACUUUUCCAUCAGUUAGAACAUCAGGGGAGGUUUUCUAUUAGCAACCAAAGCGUCCUCUUGGCAUAUAAAGUUGGCUGAUUUUGGUACUACUACUUACAUCAAGCGAGGUCAAGGUUACAUGGAAUUGUUGGGAGUCCGUUUUAUAUAGCUCCAGAGGUGCUUAUGGGCGGUUACAACCAGGCAGCCGAUGUUUGGAGUGCGGGUGUCAUUUUGUAAGAUGUUAGAUGAAGUGGUUAUUACUACGAGGCAUAUCAUAGAUAGAUAGAUCAUCCCAAUAGUUUGAAUCUUAAUGAAAUUUGAGUUAUUUUUUUAUAAUUUUCUGUAUUUUUUAACUAUCCAUUGGUGUACAAAGAAAUAUUACUGAAAUUUGAAUUAUUUUUUGAUUUUUUCUA